AAUCCCUCCAGAAAGGCAGGAAAAGCCCGGAAACUUACUUUAAAACUAAAUAUGUUCCCUAAAACGGUGACAGAGCUACAGACCCAUGACAGCCUUACACAGGUAGCCAGCAGCUGUGACCAGCACUACAUGUGCAGUUAAUAAAAGGACAGGUAAUGUUUGUCGCGCUGUUGCACACACAGCACGCUCGUUUGUUUCAGUUCGUCAGUUGCAACAAGACAGCUUACCAACGUGUACCUAAUAAGCUAAUACUCCUGUGUGCUACACACUACAGUGCACGCUGUACACCUACUUACUGGUUGUGUCGCAUCAGUCUGUGUCUCUGAGUUAACUUGUGUUUCUCCUACAGCUCCGGACCGCUAAAAAUGCGCGUGCUCUUUGUGAGCUCGUUCCCGGCUCGUAACCAGCGCGUUCUGCCGUCAAGGGCGAUCAUUGGUUAAAUGUGAUCAUGUGACUGAUGCAAGCCAGAUCCUUUUAUUUAGCAAAACUGUGAUUAAUAGUUAAAUAUUAUUGUUGAGGGGCACAGACAGGACUCCGCACACACACAUUAAAAAAAAUAUAUAUAUAUAUUUUUUUAAAAAGUUGCCUCAACAAAAGGGCACUUUGGGCACCCAUCAGGAAAGGGGCGGGUGCUCAAGCCCCUCUAGCCCCCCCCUCUGCACGUGCCUGCUAUGCAGCUCCGCAGACAGGAGAUGGCCAUCCAGCAGUGGCUUGGCAUGCGCUGCCCUGAAGACUAAUAUGGUGGCUAUGGUUACCAUCAACGAACACGGUUAUCAGGAUGGCUAUCACCAGGGGUAUGGUGAUAAAAGGUGCGUGCAUUCCAAUGAUGCACACUGGCCUGCAGCUGGUCCUUGGUGCUACCUUCCUUUGGCCCAAAACCUUUACGACUAUUUUGUAGCACUUAGUGAAGGGAAGAAAAAUGCUUUCACAUAUCCAGUUCUUUAACAUUCCCUAUAUAGCAUAGUACGCUGCUUUAUACUUAGCAGCGUCAGAUCUGGUUAGUCAGUAAAUUUAUGGAUGAACCUGAAGGUUCAGAAAUGGAUUGCAUACUUUAGUUUUUGCCGGGUUUGGUUUUUUUUGUUUGUUUCAACUUAAAACAUUAUUGCAUCGUCUGUCAUCUCUAACUGGCUUUUUUAGGUCAGACUUGCAUAGUUUCAGCACACACGUUGAUUUUGUAGAUAAUAGAACAUUUUUAUUGGACAUCUGUUGCAUUUGAAGUGCAGUUACCAAUAAUAUUAUUAAAAGCAUCACAUUAUUUCUCUUUUGUAAAGUUUCUGUUGCUAUACAUUGUUUCUAUUUAUUCUUUGUUUCUAUAUGGCUAUAUGAAAAUAAACAUUUGUUUACUACCAGGUCCUUUAAAUUAUUUGUCUCACUUUCAGUGCCAAUGCGCUGCAAUAAUCUUUUGAGCAACACCUCCCCCUAGUGGCAAAACUGGAAAAAUAUUUCCAAGUAUAUUUUAGUGGUCAUGUAAUGAUUGAAACAACCUGCCGUACUUGUAAUAUCUACAGUAGUUUCAGACCUUCUCAACUUACUGUCCCCUCAAUGCAAUCACAUUUGCAAAAACACUUUGCGAGUAAGAAGGGCUUGAAUCCACCUACCCAUUUUCUUCCACUUAUCCAAUUAAGGGCAUGGGGAGGCUGGAGCAUCUCUCAGCUGCCAUAGAGCAAGAGACAGAGUUUGUAUUAAACAUGGCCAAAGUGUAUGUACAAGUGAGUCUUGUUCAUUUAAAGCUUAGACAUCAGACUGCGUUACAGUCUCUUUUCUCUUGGAUCUGUAUAAUGUUAGUGGGUGUGGAACACUGUUAUUCAGCAGGUGGGUAAACUAUCUAAGAGUUGGCUUAAAGGAACUGAUAGGGAGCUAAAACAGCUAUCAAGCAUGUGCAAAGUAAUAGAAGAAAAACAUGGAGUUAGAGCAGCUAGUACCCUUUAGGUCUUCCUCCAGAAAACCUCAGUAUUUAAAUAAAUGCACAAAUUUAUGACAAGACAUCAGCGAUUGUAUUAAAUUGCAUUACUUGCACAGAAGUAAAACAACUUGCCAUUUAUUUUACAAGAAAAUGCAUUCACACGUGAGGAUUUUAAUGGCACAAACAACAAUCUUUAGACAAUGUUAUUUUACAGUUUAACAAGAAAAUAUUCAAGCCCCAAGUAAGAGAGGCAGGGAGUUUGUGGUGCUGACAGAAAGUCAGGCAUUAGUGGCAAUUAUGUCAAUACCACUUAUUCUGGCUCAGAAAAUAAACAAAUAAAAAAAUAAACUGCCUCUUCCACAGUACAAUACAAACUGAAUUCAUCAUAGUGUGGAUAAAGAUUCAAAAUCACCACAAUUUCAAACAAAUCUAUUAUCAAAACAAUCCUGAAACUGCAGUUUCUGGUCCUUAGACGUCCAGCACCAGCAAGCAGUCAAAUAGCAGCAUGUACAACAGGAAUCAUGUAAAGAAAUACACUGUCCAUAAAAGGAAUCCAUAAUGAAUCCAAAAGUAUCACUUAUUUUCCAACAAACAGCGUUGCUGGUACUUUCCCCCAUAUGAAUGACAGCAGUCAUCCACAGACAGGCACGUUUCCAAAAUAUACACAUUUCGCUAAUUCUGUUAUUAAACACUUUGUUUUUAAUACUAGGAGUCUAUCAUAUAAUCUAUCAACAGUAUCUUUCACCGUUUACCUGCUUAUCACUGUUCAAAUAAAUGCUUUCACAGACAAUCUGUGACCAUGUUCCAUCCAGUCAAUUGUCCAGUUCGAUAUCAGCAGCAGGAAAGAUGCAGAGUAUCCUCUGGAUACUUGGGAGUGAGCUCUAUCAUUACUACAAGGACUCUUCAUCAGAAACACUGUCUGCAUUUGCCUUUGUCAGGAGCUCGAGCUC
ensembl:lncRNA